rnacentral:rRNA from 1 species
UACGUAGGGGGCUAGCGUUGUCCGGAAUCAUUGGGCGUAAAGAGCGCGUAGGCGGCUAGAUAAGUCCGGUGUGAAAGUCACAGGCUCAACCUGUGAAUGCCGCUGGAAACUGUCUGGCUAGAGUCCGGAAGGGGCGAGUGGAAUUCCUGGUGUAGCGGUGAAAUGCGCAGAUAUCAGGAGGAACACCAAUGGCGAAGGCAGCUCACUGGGACGGUACUGACGCUGAGACGCGAAAGCGUGGGGAGCAAACAGG